CGCGCCGUAGGUCAGGACAACGGCCAUCUGCAGGAUGGUCCGGACGCGGGCGCUGAUCUUGUCCGCCGUCGCGGC
rnacentral:tRNA from 1 species